rnacentral:rRNA from 1 species
GAUGAACGCUGGCGGCGUGCUUAACACAUGCAAGUCGAACGGAAAGGAACAAACUAGCAUGAGUAAUAAAAUAGAAAAAAAGUAACACACAAAUGAGAGACAAGCAAUGCACUUCGGGAUAAGCCUGGGAAACUGGGUCUAAUACCGGAUAGGACGAUGGUUUGGAUGCCAUUGUGGAAAGUUUUUUCGGUGUGGGAUGAGCUCGCGGCCUAUCAGCUUGUUGGUGGGGUAAUGGCCUACCAAGGCGUCGACGGGUAGCCGGCCUGAGAGGGUGUACGGCCACAUUGGGACUGAGAUACGGCCCCGACUCCUACGGGAGGCAGCAGUGGGGAAUAUUGCACAAUGGGCGCAAGCCUGAUGCAGCGACGCCGCGUGGGGGAUGACGGCCUUCGGGUUGUAAACUCCUUUCGCUAGGGACGAAGCGUUUUUGUGACGGUACCUGGAGAAGAAGCACCGGCUAACUACGUG